rnacentral:rRNA from 1 species
UACGGAGGGUGCGAGCGUUGUCCGGAAUCACUGGGCGUAAAGGGCGCGUAGGCGGCGCGGGUAGUCAACGGUGAAAGCUUGGGGCUCAACCCCGAGUCGGCCGUCGAUACUCCCGUGCUUGAGCACUGUAGAGGCAGGUGGAAUUCCGGGUGUAGCGGUGGAAUGCGUAGAUAUCGAGAGGAACACCUGCGGCGAAGGCGGGUUGCUGGGCUGACACUGACGCUGAUGCGCGAAAGCCAGGGGAGCGAACGGG